rnacentral:rRNA from 1 species
CUACCAUGCAGUCGACGAUGAGCCGCUUCGGUGGUGGAUUAGUGGCGAACGGGUGAGUAACACGUGGGCAAUCUGCCCUGCACUCUGGGACAAGCCCUGGAAACGGGGUCUAAUACCGGAUAUGACACACGGAGGCAUCUCCUGUGUGUGGAAAGCUCCGGCGGUGCAGGAUGGGCCCGCGGCCUAUCAGCUUGUUGGUGGGGUAAUGGCCUACCAAGGCGACGACGGGUAGCCGGCCUGAGAGGGCGACCGGCCACACUGGGACUGAGACACGGCCCAGACUCCUACGGGAGGCAGCAGUGGGGAAUAUUGCACAAUGGGCGCAAGCCUGAUGCAGCGACGCCGCGUGAGGGAUGACGGCCUUCGGGUUGUAAACCUCUUUCAGCAGGGAAGAAGCGCAAGUGACGGUACCUGCAGAAGAAGCACCGGCUAACUACGUGCCAGCAGCCGCGGUAAUACGUAGGGUGCGAGCGUUGUCCGGAAUUAUUGGGCGUAAAGAGCUCGUAGGCGGCUUGUCACGUCGGAUGUGAAAGCCCGGGGCUUAACCCCGGGUCUGCAUUCGAUACGGGCAGGCUAGAGUUCGGUAGGGGAGAUCGGAAUUCCUGGUGUAGCGGUGAAAUGCGCAGAUAUCAGGAGGAACACCGGUGGCGAAGGCGGAUCUCUGGGCCGAUACUGACGCUGANGAGCGAAAGCGUGGGGAGCGAACAGGAUUAGAUACCCUGGUAGUCCACGCCGUAAACGUUGGGAACUAGGUG